rnacentral:rRNA from 1 species
GAUGAACGCUGACAGAAUGCUUAACACAUGCAAGUCAACUUGAACUUCGGUUUGGGUGGCGGACGGGUGAGUAACGCGUAAAGAACUUGCCUCACAGAUAGGGACAACAUUUGGAAACGAAUGCUAAUACCUGAUAUUAUGAUUCUAGGGCAUCCUAGGAUUAUGAAAGCUAUAUGCGCUGUGAGAGAGCUUUGCGUCCCAUUAGCUAGUUGGAGAGGUAACGGCUCACCAAGGCGAUGAUGGGUAGCCGGCCUGAGAGGGUGAUCGGCCACAAGGCGACUGAGACACGGCCCUUACUCCUACGGGAGGCAGCAGUGGGGAAUAUUGGACAAUGGACCAAGAGUGUGAUCCAGCAAUUCUGUGUGCACGAUGAAGUUUUUCGGAAUGUAAAGUGCUUUCAGUUGGGAAGAAAAAAAUGACGGUACCAACAGAAGAAGUGACGGCUAAAUACGUGCCAGCAGCCGCGGUAAUACGUAUGUCACAAGCGUUAUCCGGAUUUAUUGGGCGUAAAGCGCGUCUAGGUGGUUAUAUAAGUCUGAUGUGAAAAUGCAGGGCUCAACUCUGUAUUGCGUUGGAAACUGUGUAACUAGAGUACUGGAGAGGUAAGCGGAACUACAAGUGUAGAGGUGAAAUUCGUAGAUAUUUGUAGGAAUGCCGAUGGGGAGGCCAGCUUACUGGACAGAUACUGACGCCCAAGCGCGAAAGCGUGGGGAGCGAACAGG